GGGCAGGUCUGCCGCGACUCGGCACUUUCUCGGGCUCCGGUGGCUCCCUUUCUUUCCUUUGCCCCCUUUUGUUUUGAAGAGAAGGAGGAGAAGGGGAGAGAAGAAAAUCAGGCACCAAAAGCCGUCUCGAUCGUCUCCGUCUGCCGAUGUGAACAAGAGGAGAAGGGAGAGAAAUGUGAAGAUGAGAGGAGGUGGAACAAUGAAUUUAUAGCGGAAUGCCAUCCUGCAAUGGCAAUUUCAACAAUUCGUCACUGCAGGCUGCCUCUUAAAGGGAGAGCUUCAAAACCA